GCCGGCAGUCCUGGGAGGAGCGCACAGGUCGAGGGCUGGACAAGACAGCCAGGCUCUGGUAUUUCCCUAAGUGUCAGCACAGAAUCGCUGGCUGAGGACCCCGGAAAUUUCUGUCUCCAUCUCCACCCUCGGAAGUCUGGCCACAAAGAGCCCUGUAAUCGGCCAAGUACUCUUCAAAUGGGCAUGGUUACACCUUGACCUCAAACACAAACUGUUUUUGUUACUGGCUGAGAGCCUGGGAACUAACAUGACGCUGCCUGCUUGGAAUCCUGGCCCCUGGCUUACCAGCGGCAUGACCUUGGACAUGCCACAUGAGCGUGGAUCCUUGCUGGGCACCCCAUGCCCUGGUCUCUCCUGAAGCAACCAGGGAGCUGCCGUCUGGGCCUCAGUGACAGUGCAGGUCAGACACACGCAGGCCUGCACAAUGACCCUUGGUGAUUACCCGUCGUCAUGCUCCAGACAGCAAUACUGAGACCCCCCUCGCUCCAUGAAGCGGGGCAGCCCCAGGAAAUCCUGUGCGGGGCUGGUGAGGGUGUGGAGAAGGGACACAGGGGACUUGCCACCUUGUUGGCAGGGGUGUGUUUCCAAAAGAACGAAAGACUUCAGAGGCAGUGACCACGCGCGCCCACAUACAGAGUGGUACAGCUCCUAACCCUAAAUCUGGGAGGCGGCCCACAUGCUCCUCAGCAGACGAAGGGACACAGAAGGUGUGGGGCGCCGCCGUGCCAUACAGCAGGGUGCACUGGAGCCCUCUGUAGGGUGAUGGAUGGACCAUGGGGUGUGGUGCCAAGUAGGACUGGUCAGACACAGCAGCCUAAGCCCUGAGUGGUCAGAAAAGGAGCAAGGCACAAGACAGGCUUUGAAGACGGAAGCUGCCACACAGUUAGCAGCCAGUGGAGAGAGUCACAGGGCAAGAGACCAAGGACAGCCUCCAGCCCACGGGAGCAGAAACUGAGAGGCGAGUGUGGUCAGCAAUCACGUGGGCCAGGAUGAGGGGUCAGGCCUGGUCUCCUGGGUACAGAAAUGGCGACAUGAUGCAGGUGUGCCGUUGUCACUGCCAACCAGGGGCGACACUGUUCCGCAGUGACAGAUCACUGCUGCCGUGGCGACGCCCACUCAGCCUGCGUCACAAAUGCUGCCGUGUCAGGACUGUUCCGUCUAGGGGGCCUUCACGGAGCGGCAUGCAGAGCCAGACUGCCACAUUCGGCACUCAGCGCCUGCACGAGGCCCACACUCACUUCCUUGUUGGCAGUGUGAAGCGGGAGGACCAGGGCUUGCACGCUAGGCCACGGCACAGUGCGGGCUGUGGCCCUGCUGUACGCACGUCGGGCUGGAGCUCAGCUGGGAAGAGGCUGGAGGGGCGGCCGGGCGGGGCUGCCUUUCCGGGCUCCGGGAGGGGAGAGUGCAGAGCCUGGGCCUGAGCUGUGUCUCCCAAGACCCGCUGCGCCCCUCUACGGUCAGAGCACUCCUCGUUGCUUGUUCUUCCUCUGAGCCUCCGCGUCCCAUCCCUGAAAAGGUCCUAACACCAUUCCCUAGGAGUCCUGGAAGGAGGUGGGUGCUCCACGUGGGGUGCAUGGUAUCAGCAAGGUUGUGGCCACCUGGCCCCUGCGGCCAGGCCCUCAUAUGGGGAUCUGAGACUCUUGCGCCCCAGUUGCAUGCAGGGGCUGGAGAAGGGCCAGCCCGCAGGUGAAGGGUGCUGACAUCGCCAUGUGUCUGCCUCAGUGCUAUGGUCCGGGCGCUUGUGUUGGAGGCUUGGCCCCAGCUUCGGUGUUGCUGGGGGCCCUCGGGACACAGCCUGGGCGGGGGGCACGAGGCCCUCCAGUGGGGCGCCUUGGGGAUGUGCGGGGCACAGCGCCAGGCCCCUUGCUUCACCUCCCAGCUCCCCCAGAGUUCCUGCCACAGUGGGCUGCCUCAACACAGACUCGAGGUGGCAGGGCCUGCUGAGCACGGCCUGAGACCCCGGAACUGGGCACCUGCUGCGGUUGUGUCCUGACGUCUCUCAAGCCAGUCUCAGACGUUUUUGGAGGUGGGUGAAUCUAGAGCCUGUGACUGAUUCCAGGUGGACACUGGGAUGAGGACGCGUGCUGUACGCCCUCAGGGCAGGCUGCCUGCGCGGGUGAGGGCAGCAGGGGUGGCUGCCCCCGGGCCGCAGCACCCGCCUCCACUGAUGAGGAGCUGAGGAACCUUUCCUCCUGUACCUUCUGGUGUCAGGUGUUUGUCCCAGCGCUGAGAGAAAAGCAGCUGAGAGCCCACACCUUACGCAGGCAGUGGAUAAGCCCGGGGGUUGUGACAGCCAUGGGCACGCUGGGUUCAAAGGCGCCACACAGCUUACUCCUUUUCCAGGGAGCUCUGCUUGCAGCAGUCUCUGCGUUGCAUCUCACUCCUUUGAAGAUGUCCACAAACAGCCCCGCACCCACCCCCUGCCUGCCACCCAUUGCCCCUGCAAGCAGCGCUCAGACCCCAGAGCUCUGGGGUGCAGGCAGCACUGAUUCACGCCACUUCCUUUCAUGCGUGGAGCAGGGCUUGGCCCAGCACCAGUGCAGACUAAGUACCCACCCAGUGGGUGUCAGGACCCCUCCUGCUUUUGCCUGUGGGACUCAGCCUGAUGAAGGGAAAUGAGAAAUUCAGGGAGUCAAAACGACUUUUAAGAAAGGAAACGAGGGCUGGGGAGAUAGCACAGUAGAAUAAGCGCUUACCAGGCAAGCGCAAGGG